rnacentral:rRNA from 1 species
GACGAACGCUGGCGGCGUGCUUAACACAUGCAAGUCGAACGGGGUUAAGGAGCUUGCUUCUUAACUUAGUGGCGAACGGGUGAGUAACGCGUGAGGAACCUGCCUCUCAGUGGGGGACAACAGUUGGAAACGACUGCUAAUACCGCAUAAAACCGUAGUACCGCAUGGUACAUCGGUCAAAGAUUUAUUGCUGAAAGAUGGCCUCGCGUCUGAUUAGCUAGUUGGUGGGGUAAUGGCCCACCAAGGCGACGAUCAGUAGCCGGACUGAGAGGUUGACCGGCAAAAUUGGGACUGAGAAACGGCCCAGACUCCUACGGGAGGAAGCAGUGGGGAAUAUUGGGCAAUGGGCGAAAGCCAGACCCAGAAACGCCGCGUGAAGGAAGAAGGCCUUCGGGUAGUAAACUUCUUUUACCAGGGACGAACACAAUGACGGUACCUGGAGAAAAAGCAACGGCUAACUACGUGCCAGCCGCCGCCGUAACAC